rnacentral:tRNA from 1 species
GAGGGUAGAGCUCAGUGGCAGAGUGCAUGCUUAGCAUGCAUGAGGUCCUGGGUUCAAUCCUCAGUGCCUCCA